GAUGGACGCUGGCGGCGUGCCUAAUACAUGCAAGUCGAGCGAACAGACGAGGAGCUUGCUCCUCUGACGUUAGCGGCGGACGGGUGAGUAACACGUGGAUAACCUACCUAUAAGACUGGGAUAACUUCGGGAAACCGGAGCUAAUACCGGAUAAUAUAUUGAACCGCAUGGUUCAAUAGUGAAAGACGGUUUUGCUGUCACUUAUAGAUGGAUCCGCGCCGCAUUAGCUAGUUGGUAAGGUAACGGCUUACCAAGGCAACGAUGCGUAGCCGACCUGAGAGGGUGAUCGGCCACACUGGAACUGAGACACGGUCCAGACUCCUACGGGGGGCAGCAGUAGGGAAUCUUCCGCAAUGGGCGAAAGCCUGACGGAGCAACGCCGCGUGAGUGAUGAAGGUCUUCGGAUCGUAAAACUCUGUUAUUAGGGAAGAACAAAUGUGUAAGUAACUAUGCACGUCUUGACGGUACCUAAUCAGAAAGCCACGGCUAACUACGUG
rnacentral:rRNA from 1 species